rnacentral:rRNA from 1 species
CACGUAGGGUGCAAGCGUUGUCCGGAUUCAUUGGGCGUAAAGGGCUAGUAGGCGGCUUAGCAAGUCGGGUGUGAAAUUUCCAGGCUUAACCUGGAACCGCCAUCCGAUACUGCUAUGGCUAGAGUCCGGUAGGGGACCACGAAUCCUGGUGUAGCGGUGAAAUGCGCAGAUAUCAGGAGGAACACCGGUGGCGAAGGCGGGUCUCUGGGCCGAUACUGACGCUGAGGAGCGAAAGCGUGGGGAGCGAACAGG